AUCUACUGGUUUUUUAUUCAUUUUUCUACUGUAUACUUCAGAUUCCGUCUGGCAACACUGAUCUGAAAGUUCCCUCACUGAGGGACCAGUAUAUUAAACUGAUUUUUGUAAACCGACGGGAUGUUCGGGGCUCGCUCCACUCCCGUCACGGGUCGGCCCGGCAUUGCAGUGCCGCCGGGAUUGGCCCACAAAUA